UAUAUAUAGCUAGCUAAGCUGGUAUACUAUAGUACGGAGGUCUCCGUGGUACCAAGUUGUUUUCAAUAAUGACUCUUCUAAAUCAACGAUCAGUUUCAUUAGAUUUGAUCUACACUAUUAAAAAUAUUUGGAAACUAAAUUUCAUAAUUUUUUGAGUGCGAGAUGUUGGAAAUAUCAAGUGUGUACGAGUAGGAGAUGUUUAAAUUUGUCCACAUUAGAAUUUAUUUAAAAUAUUUCCAGUUCAUAUGUGAUAAAAAAUAAAUAUUGCUAAUUAUCUUAGAUAUUCCUAAUUUAUAUGGGAUAGGAAAUAAAUCUAAGGGUGCGUUUGGUUCGCGCUAUCUUUUAAAGAUUCCUACUAAUCCAAUAAAAAUAAAAAAGUAUGACGGAAUUUAGGUAAACGCACUAAGUAAUCUAGUUGGUAAUACUGGAUUCACUUGGGAAUAAGAUUCACCCCAAAGUACUAAUCUCAUUCCCUUGAGGGAAGGUGGGUAUCCUCAUAUUAAUAGAUUGGGGUAAUCAUAAUAUGUCUAAUCUCUUUCUUUCUUCUUACCCACCCGCUAAUUGAUAUUAUUUUUCUUUACACUUUAACCUUAUAUCUCUCUCUAAACUUUUUUUUUCUCUCUCUAAACUAAGCUUUCUCUCUCUCUUUCUAAAAUUUCAACUCUCUCACUUCCUCUAAUUUCGACUAUAUUUUUCUUUCUAUUUUUUUAAUUAUGCUCUUUCUCUCUAACUUAUACUCUCUCUCCCUUUUUUUCUGAAACUUUUGAUAACAUUAUCUAAAAUUAAAUAAAUAAAUUAAUUAAUUAGUUGAAUAUUUUUUGUAAUAUUAAAUAACAUUGCUAAUUAAUAUUACCGUGCGAACCAAACACAGGAAUUCCACAUCUUAGUAAUAGGAUGAAUAGGAAUAAGAUUCUCGGAUAUCUUUUAUUCCUAAUAAUCUUUCAUAAUGCGAACCAAACGCACCCUAAAUGAUAAAUUAUAAUCUCUUUAAAUUUCUAUUUAUAUGAGAUUCAAUUAGAAUAUGAUUAGAAGUAAAGUGUUCCUUAUAGCCUAUAAAUAUAUGAAGUAUUGGCCACAUAUGAGAUGUAAAAAAAAAAAUUAAUUAAUCUCUCUAUGAAAUUCUCUCUCUUGGAUUCGUUAUAGGACACCAUCAGAAACCUUAGGGCGGUGUGCUGCGAUCAACUCUAAUAGCCGAUUUGUAACGAGAAAGAAUAAAUUUUUGGCGGAUUAACGAGUUCGCAAAAUAGGACAAAAUCCGAUUAUGAUAACUUCAGCAUAAAUUCCGCUACAAAAAGGCAUAUAAAAUUUUAUUAAUUUUUGUGAAUUAAUUUGGAUAU
rnacentral:lncRNA from 1 species